UACGUAGGGUGCAAGCGUUGUCCGGAAUUAUUGGGCGUAAAGAGCUCGUAGGCGGUUUGUCGCGUCUGCUGUGAAAACUCGGGGCUUAACCCCGGGCCUGCAGUGGGUACGGGCAGACUAGAGUGCGGUAGGGGGGACUGGAAUUCCUGGUGUAGCGGUGAAAUGCGCAGAUAUCAGGAGGAACACCGGUGGCGAAGGCGGGUCUCUGGACACAUAUUGACGCUGAGGUGCGAAAGCGUGGGGAGCAAACAGG
rnacentral:rRNA from 1 species